rnacentral:misc_RNA from 1 species
GUGAAUCAUCGAAUCUUUGAACGCACAUUGCGCCCAAGGCUUCGGCCGAGGGCAUGUCUGCCUCAGCGUCGGUAUUACCCCCAUCGCCCAAUUCCAUCAAUGGAAGCGAGCGGAGCUGGCAGUCCCCUUCUGGGUCUGCCGAAUAGCAGCGUUUGUUGUCGGGACCCGCUUUAUGGCGUGGCCCUUCAGUUUGGUAGGUAACCCUUGGUUGCAUGCCACUGUUGGCCAUUUGGUUCCGCUCAGCAUGCGGCAGGAACAGAGGGUGCCCUCACCCAAUGAGGCCCCUUCUUUCAAUUUUCG